UUUAAGUUUGUUUUGGCGGAAAGACCAUAGGUACGAGUGUGUUUACGUUCGGUAAACAUGUUUUGUCCGUUUUGUAGAAACAACCUGGGACAAGUGACACCGUUUUGCUCAUCUUGUGGACAAUCUCUGGAGUGUUUAAAGGACACGGACCAGACAGAAGGACCAGAUAUCUUGCAUCAUUGCGGGCAAUAUUUUAAUGAAGGUCACUCGUAUGCUGUAAUCGUGGACAUGUUGUCUACUUUUCACGGUGUAAAAAUCAGUUUGCGGACUCUUAAAAGCAAACUGAAUCAAGCCGGGUUUUACCACAGAAAGGGUUAUUCCUCUCAAAUCGCUGUAAUUAACGCCAUCAGGUUGGAACUUCGUGGACCUGGACAAUUGUUUGGAUACCGAACAAUGUGGCAGGUACUAAACAAAAGUGCAGUCUUCGAGUGAAGAGAGAUGAUGUUAUGAAUUUGCUCCGGGAGCUUAACCCUCGAGGCUGCGAGAGGAGAUCUCGCAGAAGGUUUAUAAGGAGAACCUACCACUCAAUGGGACCGAACUAUAUGUGGCAUGCUGACGGUUAUGACAAACUUAAGCCAUUCGGUGUGGCCCUUUCAGGAUGCAUAGAUGGAUUUUCACGUAAAGUACUCUGGCUUGAAUGUGGUCCAACAAACAAUAACCCGAGAGUUAUCGCUCAAUAUUUCCUCAAAUGUGUGCGAAACCUCGGUGUCAUCCCCAUGAGGCUGCGGACUGAUUGUGGCACGGAGAACGGAAUUAUGGCUGCAAUUCAGUGCACCCUACGUCACCAUCACCAUGACUACUACUCUGGAGCGUCCAGCCACAUGUAUGGCACAUCCAUGACUAAUCAGCGUAUUGAGUCCUGGUCGUCCAUAUUAAGAAAGGGAAGGUCUCAGUUCUGGAUGGAGCUAUUUGCAGACCUCUGAGAUGCUGGAUACUUCAACGGGAGUCACGAGCAUCAGUGCCUUUUGAGAUUCUGCUUCGUUGAUGUUAUUCAGAAGGACUUGGAUGAGUGUGUGAGACUGUGGAACAGUCACAGGAUUCGCCCUUCCAGAACAGCAUCAUGUCCAGGAGUAGUGCCCAAUGAACUGUACUACUUGUCACACAGAUUUGGCUCCAGGGACUGUGGAUUUGAGAUUGAACAGGCAGAAAUGGAUGCUGUUCCUGAGACAAGCCUGUCUAUAGCUCCAUGUGGGGACCAACACAUGCAGGAGUACUUGGACUUUGCUAUGGAGCGCAAUGACCUGCAGAAGCCAGAGAACUGGGAGACGGCAUCAGAACUGUACAUGAAGCUGAAAGAAUAUGCUCAGUUAUAAAGUAAUCAAAAAGGUAUUCAGAAGUACAGUAGCACUGUUUCACCACUCCAAAUCAGAUUUCAGGGCUCAACAAUGCUUGGUUUCAUGGUUUGUCAGACUGCAUUUACUCUUUUCCCUGUGAUGUAUCCAAAUGAUUAUGGUACCUGUUCAUCUGAAGACUGGUCCUCUUUAGAAAAAAGAUAUUCCCAUACUUUUUCAAAUAAAAACAGCAUUUUGAAAAGAA